rnacentral:rRNA from 1 species
AACGAACGCUGGUGGCAUGCCUAACACAUGCAAGUCGAACGAGACCUUCGGGUCUAGUGGCGCACGGGUUCGUAACGCGUGGGAACCUGCCCUUAGGGUCGGACUAACUCCCCGAAAGGGGUGCUAAUACCGGACAAUGUCUUCUGACCAAAGAUUUAUUGCCUUUGGAUGGGCGCGCGUUGGAUUAGCUAGUUGGUAGGGUAAAAGCCUACCAAGGCGCGGAUCCAUAGCUGGUCUGAGAGAAGGGUCAGCCACACUGGGACUGAGACACGGCCGAGACUCCUCCGCGAGGGAGGAGUGGGGAAUGUUGCACCGUGGGGGGAAGCCUGAUGCAGCUCUGACGCGUGAGUGAUGGUGUCAUUAGGGUUGUAAAGCUCUUUUACCCGGGAUGAUAAUGACAGUACCGGGAGAAUAAGCUCCGGCUAACUACGUG